CAGAAAAUAGUUUAAUAAAAAUAUUAAUUUUGGAGAUUAAUGAUAAGAGCUUUCUUUUUUCUGA
rnacentral:tRNA from 1 species